rnacentral:rRNA from 1 species
UACGGGGGGAGCAAGCGUUGUUCGGAUUUACUGGGCGUAAAGGGCGCGUAGGCGGUAGCACAAGUCAGUUGUGAAAUCUCCGGGCUUAACCCGGAAAGGUCAGCCGAUACUGCGGGGCUAGAGUGCAGAAGGGGCAACUGGAAUUCUCGGUGUAGCGGUGAAAUGCGUAGAUAUCGAGAGGAACACCUGCGGCGAAGGCGGGUUGCUGGGCUGACACUGACGCUGAUGCGCGAAAGCUAGGGGAGCGAACGGG